rnacentral:rRNA from 1 species
GAUCAUGGCUCAGGAUGAACGCUAGCUACAGGCUUAACACAUGCAAGUCGAGGGGCAGCGCAGUGUAGCAAUACAUGGGCGGCGACCGGCGCACGGGUGCGUAACGCGUAUCCAACCUUCCCGAUACUCUUGGAUAGCCUUCCGAAAGGGAGAUUAAUACAAGAUGGUGUUUCACUUUCGCAUGUUAUUGAAACUAAAGAUUUAUCGGUAUCGGAUGGGGAUGCGUGACAUUAGAUAGUAGGCGGGGUAACGGCCCACCUAGUCUACGAUGUCUAGGGGUUCUGAGAGGAAGGUCCCCCACACUGGAACUGAGACACGGUCCAGACUCCUACGGGAGGCAGCAGUGAGGAAUAUUGGUCAAUGGUCGGAAGACUGAACCAGCCAAGUAGCGUGAAGGAUGAAGGUUCUAUGGAUUGUAAACUUCUUUUAUACGGGAAUAAAACCUCCCACGUGUGGGAGCUUGUAUGUACCGUAUGAAUAAGCAUCGGCUAACUCCGUG